AGACUGCACAUUCUGACCCGCACGUUUGGACCCGCUACAGCGCCCCCUGGUUUGUGUUAUGCUAAUGUUAACUACUCUGUCGGAACAUGAAGGACGUGUCUGCAGACCCGGAAAAAAGGUGCAUAUAACUAUCCAGCAUAGACAAAAUCUGCCCCAACUGGAGCAAUGCAGGACGUGCUGCAAGCAGGUUCAUUGCCCAUUCUGCAGCUCAACUUUGUUUCAGCCAACAAAGUUGAACAAAUGCAAAAAACAUCUACAGGCCCAUUUUAACAGAGCUGUUAACUACCAAGUCAUGGGCAGCGGUUUGCAUUCUGGACAACUGAGGCCAUAAGCCUGAUUAAGGGAGACCUGCCACCCGUGUUCAGAGUGCCUAGACAAAGUGGCCUCACUACUCAAGUUCCACCCCACAUUCAAGCAGUCAGUGGCCGCGCUGAGGCUGAAAAGGCACUGGUGGACUUCAUUGUGCACUCACAAGGAGCUGAGCAGCAUUUGAUGAGUAUACUUGGUGGCAAGCCAUCCAAGUGGGCAGUGAUGAAACAGGUCCCAGUCUACCUGGACAGUGAAGAGGAACAGAAGACUCUCUUCACCCAUCUUAAGUCACUGCUAGACAGAACACAAGCAACAGUGAAAUACACUGAUGAGGUUCAGUUUAUUUGUGAGGUUCUCUUUCCAGAGGCCAUCAUAUAUGGCAUCUCUGCCUUAAAUGCCAUUUCAUGGGAGGAGGCAGAGCAGGUCUUCCUGGCAGGGCCUGCUGUCGAUCAAAGUGAAGUGGACGAGUUCUGCAGGAGGCUGGAAAGGCAGAUCAGGAAGGAAGGAGCGCUGCCAUAAUAUGAAGGCUAUUUGUUGAAGCCUGUGAAAUAAAACAUUUGAA